rnacentral:lncRNA from 1 species
AAGAUAUCCAAAAUCCCACCGUUUCCAAAACUAAGUCUGCAAGCCCAAUGUGCAAAACACUACCUCUCUCACCUCUCUAUUUCUCAAACCGUUGAAUGAAGGAAAUUAAUUGAGAAAACCAGGUUUCAACUUGUCAAUUGCCAAUUGAUGGUAAUGUCAAAACCCAAAUCAAUUACCAUCAUAGUUAGCUGUCUGCUGUUCUUUUCUUUUUUUAGUUGUCGGUAUUCCAUUUUUCUUUUUCCUUUGAUGAAUUAAUUGGGAUGAGAAUUGAUGUUGUUGAAAGAAGAAAUCUAUUGAACUUGGAAUAGAAGAAAAAGAGCCCGCAGCCAUUGUUAUAUGUUUGCAUAUUUUUAUUAUUUUUUUUCCCUUUCUUAUUAGUGUUGAAUCUGUAUGAUGUUCAAGAAGGGAUCAAAUCUGUAUGAUGUGCAAAUCGGACAGUGGUUUUUUGUUAGGGUUUGAGAAAGAAGCCGAAUUGGGUGAUGGAAUUAGGGCUAUUUCGGUCGACUGUGAUGUUUUUGGGGAGGGGGUCUCUCUUGUAAUUAAUGAGAUGAGAGGCCCCUGUCUGCAAUUAGAGAUUGGGGUUAAGAUUGUAAAUAAUAAAAGGAGGACAUAUCAUCUAAUUUAUAUAAUUAAAAGGGCCUAUUAAUAAUUUUAGACCAGGG